ensembl:ncRNA asRNA:CR45015 antisense RNA:CR45015
UACGGGGAAGAGUAAAUUUCCGGACAGAGCACCAAAGCGUCCACACAUCAUGGCAAUGGCAACAACAACGGUUCUGCAAAUGUUAACCUUUCAUUUAAUACGAUUUCGAUGUCAUUAAUGGAAAACCUACCUCAAUUGUGUGGGAAACAGGGCCACCACAGCACCCAAAAGUGAAGAGACAGCAAUUCCCGUAAUCGUAAGAAAAGUCGCAGACACAAUGAGUGUCAUUAGACUGCUCACGGAAAAGUAGAGCAUCAGGCCAAAGGUUCCCGACAGAAACAAUCCGUAAGCUGGAAAGUACGUUAUAUGAAGUUAUAUCACCAAAGAGAUAUACAAUUUCGGGAGCAACUUACUCAUCAUGCGUUUUGGACCCAGAGCCCGCAAGAUUCCACCGGCAAAGAAGUAGCCCACAAAGCCCGUGGCCGAAACAAUAAUGUUAUUCAGAUACAUGCGUCGGCGUAAUUCAGAGCUGUCUCAGCCGUCUGAUUGACGCUGAACUCGAGGAUGGUGCACAUGCUGACAUCCAAUCCGUCCCCGGCGUGCAGGGCCUCGUACUCCGCCAUGGAGGCGAAGAGCUGCGGCAGCCACAGACGGAUGGUGUUCAUGCCCAGGAAGAUGCCGAACUGCAUCACGUAGCAGCAAAUGGCCAAACCCAGCAGGGGCUUCCUGACCAGCGGCUUCAUCUGCUGCAGCCCGGCUCGGAGGCUCUCAGCCAGGGUACGAGACUGUCGCUUGGUUGGCACCUCUCCGGAUUUCUCCUCGAUUGUGUAGAUAACCUCGUUCUGGGCGGCCUUACGAUUGGGCACUUCCUGAAUGAGAGCUUUUAUCUCUAUCCUUGGGCUUGCGAGUGUUGACAUGGUAGAUCUGCUUAAAGGCUUGGAGCGCCUCCUCGUUCCGUCCUUGGGCCAUUAAAAAUCGCGGACUUUCCGGCAUGCUGCAGAAAAUCAAACCGCUGAUCAAACUUGGAAUGCCCAGCACGAACAGGAAAAUUUGCCAACUGUGGACUGAGUUAAAAUACAUUAAAUUAGAAUAAUCUAACAUUUCAAUAAGUAUGACGGCAACGUACCUUGCAAGCCCCAGAACUCAAAGUCCCAAUCUCUGGGAAAAAUUCCCCAGGCCAAAAGAGGUAGCGAAACCGUCGCCGUAGAGGUGACCAUGCCCACGAUCAUCAGAACAGAGGAUCGGUGCUUGGGUCCGUGCAU